ACAGAUACCGAACAGAAGUGGCAUAAACCAAGGACAAUGGGCAUAAAACCUGGUCCAGUAAAUGACAUGGUCGUCCUGUCAGCAAGACCAAGAGAGAGGAAAAUCUUUGAAGGAAUUAGAAGCAACUUGUAUAAAGGUGCUACCAGCCCUCUUCCACUCAUCUCCACCCUAAGGAUACAGGAUGUGUACAAGGGACU